rnacentral:rRNA from 1 species
UUCCGGUUGAUCCUGCCGGACCCGACUGCUAUCAGAGUGGGACUAAGCCAUGCGAGUCGACGUAGCAAUGCGUGGCGAACGGCUCAGUAACACGUAGUCAACAUGCCCAGGGGACGUGGGUAACCUCGGGAAACUGAGAAUAAACCACGAUAGGUCACGAUUUCUGGAAUGGAUCAUGGCCUAAAUCUACAUGGCCCCUGGAUUGGACUGCGGCCGAUCAGGCUGUUGGUGAGGUAAUGGCCCACCAAACCUAUAACCGGUACGGGCUCUGAGAGGAGAAGCCCGGAGAUGGGCACUGAGACAAGGGCCCAGGCCCUAUGGGGCGCAGCAGGCGCGAAACCUCUGCAAUAGGCGAAAGCCUGACAGGGUUACUCUGAGUGAUUUCCGCUAAGGGGAUCUUUUGGCACCUCUAAAAAUGGUGCAGAAUAAGGGGUGGGCAAGUCUGGUGUCAGCCGCCGCGGUAAUACCAGCACCCCGAGUGGUCGGGACGAUUAUUGGGCCUAAAGCAUCCGUAGCCGGUUCUGCAAGUCUUCCGUUAAAUCCAGCCGCUCAACGGAUGGGCCGCGGAGGAUACUACAGGACUAGGAGGCGGGAGAGGCAAGCGGUACUCAGUGGGUAGGGGUAAAAUCCUUUGAUCCAUUGAAGACCACCAGUGGCGAAGGCGGCUUGCCAGAACGCGCUCGACGGUGAGGGAUGAAAGCUGGGGGAGCAAACCGGAUUAGAUACCCGGGUAGUCCCAG